rnacentral:rRNA from 2 species
AACGACUCUCGACAACGGAUAUCUCGGCUCUCGCAUCGAUGAAGAACGUAGCGAAAUGCGAUACUUGGUGUGAAUUGCAGAAUCCCGUGAACCAUCGAGUCUUUGAACGCAAGUUGCGCCCGAAGCCUUCUGGCUUAGGGCACGUCUGCCUGGGCGUCACGC